CUGGGCGACAGAGCAAGAUCUUGUCUCAAUAAUAAUAAUAAUAAUAAUAAUAAUAAUAAAUAAAUAAAAAAUUGAAAACUCUGAUGCCGACUCUGAUUAAAUCACAAGCUCUGGUGGCAGGUCCACGUAUUUUUAAUUUGCCAGGUGAUUCUGGUGUGCAGCCAAGGUUAAGAAUCCCUGAUCUUAGCUCACACCUAUAAUCCCAGCACUUUGGGAGGCCAAGGCAGGCAGAUCACCUGAGGUCAGGAGUUCAAGAUCAGCCUGGCCAACAUGGUGAAACCCCAUCUCUACUAAAAAUACAAAAAUUAGCCGGGUGUGGUGGUGGGCACCUGUAAUCCCAGCUACUCAGGGGGCUGAGACAGGAGAAUGGCUUGAACCUGGGAGGUGGAGGUUGCAGUGAGCCAAGAUCUCACCACUGCACUCCAGCCUGGGUGACAGAGUGAGACUCCAUCUCAAAUAAACAAACAAAAAACCACUGUUCUGGAGAGAGGAUUUUAAAGCAUCUGUUUCCAACCCGGGCUUGCUCUCAGAGUUUAUUCCUUGAGGACAAUUUCUAAGCAAGGAUAUCACUGUUGUUUUGACCUUCAGUCCCAUUUAUAAGGGUCCAAAUUCCUUUGAGAAAAGUUCCAGAAAUCCUCCUCCCUCCCUACCCAAUCUAUGAUCCUAUGUCCUUGUGAUGCCCGUUUCCACACAGCUGAAGAACUACGGAAGGAAAAUGUAGUAAACUAGAAGAAAAAGACAAAUGCCUUCCUGUUCCCACUUCUCUAAAACCCCAUAGCUAGGAACAGAAAAAAAGGAAAAGACUUGAAAUGUUCUAGAGAUAUAACAAAAACUUUUUUUUUUUUAAAGAGGAUCCACCUGGUUCAUGAACCCUCCCUCACUGCUCUCUGCACAUCACGGCCACACAGCACCUGCAGGGAGGCUGUGGGGAGGUGUGGAGCAGGUGCAACAGGCAGCUACUCUCCUGGGGGCCACACGGCGGAGAGAGGAUUCGAUGCAGCAUGACGAUCCCUUCCUCCCAGGCAUGACCUCUUCUCAGAACACGGGAACUGACAACACUGCGAGUGGCAACUCAGCAGAUCUGGGGCUGCCUAGUGAGCCGUUAAACGCCUGGGUUCCGCCCAGGGCUGCCUUCCACCGGGACGCCGGGCCUGCUGUGGCUGGACCCUACAGGAGACAAGGGAAGGAGAAUUAACAUCAAAGCUGGUAAAGUAUCCUGUCAAAACCAAGUGCCAAAUCCUCUGUGGGACAGGAAGGGGCAGCUAAGACAGGUGCUUCGGGAUGCCUUGGGAAGUAUCAGAGCAGAAACAGGAGCGACUGGUUAGCAGAUGGUCAGCCAACAGAUGCCUUCCCUGGGAGACGGGGAAGCUGGGGCUGUGGAUUUCUGGCCCCGAGGGUCCCAGGUCAUUAUGCUGAACAAGAGGCACCUUCCCGGGACGAUACAGCACCCUGUGCUGGAAGGAAGCACCAUUUUCCACAGUGGAGGAGUCUCAUGACCCCUCCUGUCUUCCAGAAGGAUGGAAGGGAGCGCCCACCCCACACCCCUGGAGAAAAAUGCCCCCCAGCCUGGGGAGCCAUGGGCUCUGCUCCUCCCUCAGCUGAAGGGCCAGGAAAGGGAAGUGAAGGGGCAGGGAGAGGGAAGAUAUUUACCUUACGUGUGCUCUGAAAACAAAAAACGCGCACUAGUCCACAGUCAUUUAUCAACUGCAGUUUCCAACUGUGCCAAAGAGGGAAAGGUCUACUGGGAAGGCUAAAGAGAGCAGAGAGAGAAAGAAGAGGAGAAGCUAUUGAGCAGAAAUGGUUGUGCCUCUUGGCUCCGGGCAGCACCAUGGAGAGGGCCGGUGCCCCGGGCAGGGGAAGCUGAGGGAGAGCUGGCAGCUGCAGUGCUGGUGCUGCGCUGCCCCACAGCCUGCGGCUCAGGAUGGCAGAGAAAGCCAGGAGCACAGCAUGGAGGGCUGCACAGUGUGGGGACUGCCUUUCCCUCGGCAAUACAGUUCCAUGAAGAACUGACGUGGAGGACCUACCCAGGAUUUGAAAUAGUAGGCCAGGGGUCAGACAACUUUUUCUGUAAAGGACCAAUAUUUUUAGUUUUUGUAGGUCAUAUAGUCUCUGUCACAGCUACUCAGCUCCACUGCUGUAACUCAAAGGCAGCCAUAGCAAUCUACAAACAGAUGUGUGGGUUCUCAUAAAACUUCAUUCUCAAAAAUAGGCUGCUAGCCAGAUGUGGCCCUUGCACCACUAUUUGCCAACCCCUGCUGUAGGCAAUUUAAAAUUAUUGUGUCUUCCAAGUCUCAAAAAAGGCACUUCUCUGCUGGGCGUCUAGUGCCAAGGUCUCCAGAAACUGGUUCUCAUCUGCAUGAUUUAAGCAGUGCCCCACCAAAAUCUCCAGGUGUGCAGCGGCCCUACGCUCCUCCGGACAGUGAAGUGCCAAGCUCACGGGACAAAAUGCAGGACAACCCGAGUUCAGGCAAGAAACAGAAAGACAGCAGGCCAGCCUCACUGAAGCAACUGUCAGGUUGUACUUAAGUGAAAAUAACCAACAUUGUGUCUAGAGAAUAAUCCAUUACAAAGAGGAAAUGACCCACAAAGCCACUAUCAACUAUUCUCUUACAGGACGGCCCAGUGAAGAUUAUUUAAAAAUCUCCGGGUGUGCAGUGAUGGGAAGAGCAUUAUUUUGGGAUUAGGUCUGUAUCUUCACUACAACACGUGCAGUCUGAGUAGCAGUGAGCCAGAAAAAGGCUCACAUGUGGGAGAACCAAAACCAAAAGACUCCCAUUUUUAAAACCUUGGCCUCUGAGACCCCAGUGUAAUGUGACAAUGUGAACUUCUGUAGAAGGGGCACCCCAUACAAUAAGAAACCAUCACAGUGGGUAAGCACAGAAGCCUCAACAACCCUAAAAGGUGCGGCACUAGCUACUCGUCCAGCUACUUUGGAGGCUGAGGCAGGAGGAUCACUUGAGCCCAGAGUAUGAAGCCAGCCUGGGCACCAUGGCAAGACCUUAUCUCUUAAAAAAAAGUGCAGCACCAUCCUUAGAGAGAUCUCUUUAGGAAGAGAUGCAACCCAUCCCCAGAUCCAAGACUUAAGCAGCACGACCUCACCCGCUGCCUUUUUGCCAACACCCAGAUCUGGAGCCCACAGGGGCUGAAGCAUCCACAUGGCCCAGGGUGGGAUUUCUGUCCCUUGCACCUGCAUGUGACCUCACAAUUCAGAAAGGACUAUUAGAAAAACAUGUUUGUGCUCUCGAGUGUGGGUCUGAGCAGCCACAGUGGCUCCACGGGAGGCCUACAGGAAGCAGGUCAGAGUCCCUGGGCCUUCUCUCUGGCUCUCAUUCCUGCCCUGUAGAACAGGCAGAACAGCUAGCAGCCCUCUGGCCACGGGGAGGUUAGCAGAGUUAGACAUGGAAGCUCCUAGCACAGUGCCUGGCAGAGGAAGUGCUGAUAACAGCUUGUCUUCCUCGUGGUGGGGCAGGUGGGGGUGGGAGGAGGCAAGCCUGCAGCUCCCUCCACAGCCCCACCAGCUCUUCCAGGAAUCUCAAGUUCAGGCAUAUCUCUGACCCCAACCUUAGGAACGCAAUCAGAAUUAAAGUAUCUUCUUGAAAAACAAGAACAAGAAACCCUUCACCACUCCUACCCACAGCCUACACUUCAGACUCUUUCACCUCCCUCCUUGCAGUGUGGGGAUGGGGUUCCAUAUCCCACAACCUUUAGUUCGAUUUGCAAAAUUUCUUCCAACACAAUCUUCCUGCUCGCAGUGGAGCACUGGAUGGGCCACGCUUAAAUAUUAGUAUGAACUGACCAAACUCUUCACAAAUGCCCUUCUAGUGUCUAGGAUGGUGUCUGCCAGCCACACACCCUCUAAGCCAGGGCCACUGCUGACUCAAAGUGACCUAAACUUAAUCUUAAAUGGCCAAAAGAGUGUCUGAACUAAAACUUAUUCCCACUUCCCAA